AUUGAACGCUGGCGGCAUGCUUUACACAUGCAAGUCGAACGGCAGCGCGGGCUUCGGCCUGGCGGCGAGUGGCGAACGGGUGAGUAAUACAUCGGAACGUGCCCAGUAGUGGGGGAUAGCUCGGCGAAAGCCGGAUUAAUACCGCAUACGACCUGAGGGUGAAAGCGGGGGAUCUUCGGACCUCGCGCCAUUGGAGCGGCCGAUGGCCGAUUAGCUAGUUGGUGGGGUAAAGGCCUACCAAGGCGAAGAUCUGUAGCUGGUCUGAGAGGACGACCAGCCACGCUGGGACUGAGACACGGCCCAGACUCCUACGGGAGGCAGCAGUGGGGAAUUUUGGACAAUGGGCGAAAGCCUGAUCCAGCAAUGCCGCGUGUGUGAUGAAGGCCUUCGGGUUGUAAAGCACUUUUGGCGGGAACGAAAAGGACUGUGCCAAUACCACGGUUCGAUGACGGUACCCGCAGAAUAAGCACCGGCUAACUACG
rnacentral:rRNA from 1 species